rnacentral:rRNA from 1 species
UGGGGAAUAUUGCACAAUGGGGGAAACCCUGAUGCAGCGACGCCGCGUGAGUGAAGAAGUAUCUCGGUAUGUAAAGCUCUAUCAGCAGGAAAGAAAAUGACGGUACCUGACUAAGAAGCCCCGGCUAACUACGUGCCAGCAGCCGCGGUAAUACGUAGGGGGCAAGCGUUAUCCGGAUUUACUGGGUGUAAAGGGAGCGUAGACGGUCCUGCAAGCCAGAUGUGAAAGCCCGGGGCUCAACCCCGGGACUGCAUUUGGAACUGUAAGGCUAGAGUGUCGGAGAGGCAGGCGGAAUUCCUAGUGUAGCGGUGAAAUGCGUAGAUAUUAGGAGGAACACCAGUGGCGAAGGCGGCCUGCUGGACGAUGACUGACGUUGAGGCUCGAAAGCGUGGGGAGCAAACAGG